AUACUAAAUGAUGCAGAACCCAAGAUUAACCAACGUAAUCAUGAACUUAUACAAUUUCAUUCAAGACACCAAAGAACCCUCCCUACUUAACCUUUUAUCAAGAAUGAUAGGAACUAAGAUCACUGAAAAACUGAUAAUUAAAACAAGAAUGGAAAAACACCACAAGGAAUUACUUUAGUAAGUAGAUCCACUCCUUACUCAACAAGAAGGAUGAAGACAUCUCUU
rnacentral:lncRNA from 1 species